AUACGUAGGGUGAAAGCGUUAAUCGGAAUUACUGGGCGUAAAGCGUGCGCAGGCGGUUUUGUAAGACAGAGGUGAAAUCCCCGGGCUCAACCUGGGAAAUGCCUUUGUGACUGCAAGGCUAGAGUACGGCAGAGGGGGAUGGAAUUCCGCGUGUAGCAGUGUAAUGCGUAGAUAUGCGGAGGAACACCGAUGGCGAAGGCAAUCCCCUGGGCCUGUACUGACGCUCAUGCACGAAAGCGUGGGGAGCAAACAGGAUUAGAUACCCUGGUAGUCCACGCCCUAAACGAUGUCAACUGGUUGUUGGGUCUUCAUUGACUCAGUAACGAAGCUAACGCGUGAAGUUGACCGCCUGGGGAGUACGGCCGCAAGGUUGAAACUCAAAUGAAUGGGCGGGG
rnacentral:rRNA from 1 species